rnacentral:tRNA from 1 species
UCCUUUCUAGUUUAUAAAAAAUAUCAAAUUGUGGUUUUGAAGAAUUCUAAAGGAA